AUACGUAGGUGGCAAGCGUUGUCCGGAAUUAUUGGGCGUAAAGCGCGCGCAGGCGGUCCUUUAAGUCUGAUGUGAAAGCCCACGGCUCAACCGUGGAGGGUCAUUGGGAACUGGGGGACUUGAGUGCAGAAGAGGAAAGUGGAAUUCCACGUGUAGCGGUGAAAUGCGUAGAGAUUUGGAGGAACACCAGUGGCGAAGGCGACUUUCUGGUCUGUAACUGACGCUGAGGCGCGAAAGCGUGGGGAGCAAACAGGAUUAGAUACCCUGGUAGUCCACGCCGUAAACGAUGAGUGCUAAGUGUUAGGGGGUUUCCGCCCCUUAGUGCUGCAGCUAACGCAUUAAGCACUCCGCCUGGGGAGUACGGUCGCAAGACUGAAACUCAAAUGAAUUGACGGGG
rnacentral:rRNA from 1 species